rnacentral:lncRNA from 1 species
CUUGACUCAUUUGAGACCGUGAAAAAACAUACAGCGGUAAUUUUUAAACAUAGGUAAACUACUGAGGGUUUAGCAAGUUAAUUUGCCCAUACGGAAAGCAGCCACACUCUCCAAAGGUGUGUAAGUGCACCUAGGUCAGACAGACAGCAUUCCAGUAAAAUGGGUGGUUUAACGUUUAACUUUUUAAUGAAGAAAAAUGUGACAUUUCAAAAGUCCAAUCUCUUCCACAUGCCUUUGUUUUCAUUUUAAAUUACACAUUUAUUUUCUUUGGACAGAGUUUUUUUCCAUGCAAGUUAGAGAUGAGAACGCCUUACCCUAACCUCCAUGGAUGGGCCACCUUGAGAAGCCCUGAGAGAGAAAGGCAACUUAAAACCAUCAAUGGCGCACACUUUGUAAGGUACAAUGGACCAUGUUUCCCCUCAAGCUGCAAUUUGGGAAGGCAAUUUAGGCAGCCUUGAUUGAAAGAACACUACAUUCAGUAGUAUGAGGCGAACUGGAAAAACGUCUUCUGCUCUGCUGGGUAAUCAUAUAUUCAGAGCGUAGGCUGACUGUUAUUGUCUGUCAUCCAAAAGUGCAUGCUGGAAGAAAACAAAAAGUGUUUCCCAUAAAUCUUUAUAAGUCAGAACCACAAAACUGUGCAAACAUUCAGACUGCUUUGGGGGUCUAAAAUAUAGUGUCAGAUUUAAAGCACUGUUAUUAUGACAAGGUAUUUCUUCACGAAAGGAGCAAUUGGUGUUCACUGCUAACUUUCUGAUACCCUUUGUGAUUGUGUAGUGAUAUGUUCUGCUCUGCCCAUUCUUUCUGAACAGAUCUGCUCAAUUUCUUACACUGAAAAUUAUUUUAAAAAACCAAACAAACCACCAGCCCCAAACAAAACAAAGAAACCCACCAAGAACCUUAGCGGUAGGUUUCAUGAUAAGCAAAUUUCUAUCAUUCUCCAUCUCCGUAGUUUGUGAUCACUCUUUUUAAAAUGAAAAUGAAAAUAAGAGAAUAUAAAUAGUAGUACAUACCCCAAAGGCUGAAUUGUUACCAAAUGUGAUUCUCUGCAACUCCAUAUGUGAGUGAAUGGAAAUGAAAGUUAAUGAAAUAUCAUCAACAACAAAAAGAGCGAUCCAUAUGUGAGUGAAUG